AGUCUUGCGACCGUACUCCCCAGCGGAGUGCUUAAUGCGUUAGCUGCAGCACUAAGGGGCGGAAACCCCCUAACACUUAGCACUCAUCGUUUACGGCGUGGACUACCAGGGUAUCUAAUCCUGUUCGCUCCCCACGCUUUCGCUCCUCAGCGUCAGUUACAGACCAGAGAGUCGCCUUCGCCACUGGUGUUCCUCCACAUCUCUACGCAUUUCACCGCUACACGUGGAAUUCCACUCUCCUCUUCUGCACUCAAGUUCCCCAGUUUCCAAUGACCCUCCCCGGUUGAGCCGGGGGCUUUCACAUCAGACUUAAGAAACCGCCUGCGAGCCCUUUACGCCCAAUAAUUCCGGACAACGCUUGCCACCUACGUAUUACCGCGGCUGCUGGCACGUAGUUAGCCGUGGCUUUCUGGUUAGGUACCGUCAAGGUACCGCCCUAUUCGAACGGUACUUGUUCUUCCCUAACAACAGAGCUUUACGAUCCGAAAACCUUCAUCACUCACGCGGCGUUGCUCCGUCAGACUUUCGUCCAUUGCGGAAGAUUCCCUACUGCUGCCUCCCGUAGGAGUCUGGGCCGUGUCUCAGUCCCAGUGUGGCCGAUCACCCUCUCAGGUCGGCUACGCAUCGUUGCCUUGGUGAGCCGUUACCUCACCAACUAGCUAAUGCGCCGCGGGUCCAUCUGUAAGUGGUAGCCAAAGCCACCUUUUAUGUUUGAACCAUGCGGUUCAAACAACC
rnacentral:rRNA from 1 species